GGGCCCCCUCUCAUGGCUCUGUGCACCUGUGUCUGUCAUUGUCGUCCUCUCCCCUCCCCCCGCCCCGCUCGCCCAAUGUGUCCUGAUAUUUCACUCUUGCGAUCUGGUCACCCUACCUGUGGCUGAAGUAGGAACACAUUCAGAGCUGAUGGAGAAAAGGGGGUUAUAUUAUUCACUUGCAGCAGCACAGAAGACCAUGAAGAAUCAACAGAAACUAUUACCUUAAAAGAUCAUGAAGAAGCGUUCCCCAUCAAUGGGUUGAUUUCGAACAGAGCAAGCAUAAAACAUGUUCCACAAAAAGAGGCUGAAGAAGAAGCUGCACCUGAAGAGGAACACCUUCCCAAAGUUUCUUUCCUCAAGCUUUUUAAAUUAAAC
rnacentral:lncRNA from 1 species